rnacentral:rRNA from 1 species
GGUAGUCCACGCCGUAAACGAUGUCGACUUGGAGGUUGUGCCCUUGAGGCGUGGCUUCCGGAGCUAACGCGUUAAGUCGACCGCCUGGGGAGUACGGCCGCAAGGUUAAAACUCAAAUGAAUUGACGGGGGCCCGCACAAGCGGUGGAGCAUGUGGUUUAAUUCGAUGCAACGCGAAGAACCUUACCUACUCUUGACAUCCAGAGAACUUAGCAGAGAUGCUUUGGUGCCUUCGGGAACUCUGAGACAGGUGCUGCAUGGCUGUCGUCAGCUCGUGUUGUGAAAUGUUGGGUUAAGUCCCGCAACGAGCGCAACCCUUAUCCUUUGUUGCCAGCGGUUAGGCCGGGAACUCAAAGGAGACUGCCAGUGAUAAACUGGAGGAAGGUGGGGAUGACGUCAAGUCAUCAUGGCCCUUACGAGUAGGGCUACACACGUGCUACAAUGGCGCAUACAAAGAGAAGCGACCUCGCGAGAGCAAGCGGACCUCAUAAAGUGCGUCGUAGUCCGGAUUGGAGUCUGCAACUCGACUCCAUGAAGUCGGAAUCGCUAGUAAUCGUAGAUCAGAAUGCUACGGUGAAUACGUUCCCGGGCCUUGUACACACCGCCCGUCACACCAUGGGAGUGGGUUGCAAAAGAAGUAGGUAGCUUAACCUUCGGGAGGGCGCUUACCACUUUGUGAUUCAUGAGCUGGGGUGAAGUCGUAACAAGGUAACCGUAGGGGAACCUGC